AAGCGGCCGGUCCUCCGGACGCUCCUGCCCGUACGUCGCGAUCAGCGCCUGCGCCUC
rnacentral:antisense_RNA from 1 species